AUGGGUAUGCAGGCUCUGAUGGAUGUCCGGUGCAUGAACCUUGUCAACCCUUUAUGCGACUGGCUUGGUGAGAUCCACGACCCCCCCUUCAGGGAAUUCAUGAUUCCGGGACGUGGAAGACUACCGUUGAACGAGGAAUCCGUGUUCUGCACUUUGGGUGUGCCCCGUGGACAUAUCAAAGUCCCGUACGAGGUCAAUAAUGAGAUCAAGGAAGCGCUGUUCCCCCAUUUGUUUCCUGGGUUGGAAUCCAUGCCGAACACAUCUGCACUGGCAGAUUCGCCGCAGGCCAUGCCGAGGCAUGGAGAUGUUUUCAAGAUGAAGCUACUCAUGUACCUCAUCUCAGCUGUUUUCGCGUCGACCACUUCUCUUCGCCCAAGCAACAAAUGCUUCCCCAUCCUGGCGGAUCUGAAAAAUGUGAAGAACAUGAAUUGGUGUAAGUUUAUUGCCGACUUCCUGCACGAUGCAUUCUCAAGCAAGAUGUACCAAAAGGGUUGUUGA
rnacentral:rRNA from 1 species